GGGAUUGCCCUAGUAACGGCGAGUGAAGCGGCAACAGCUCAAAUUUGAAAUCUGGCUCUUUCAGAGUCCGAGUUGUAAUUUGCAGAGGGCGCUUUGGCUUUGGCAGCGGUCCAAGUUCCUUGGAACAGGACGUCACAGAGGGUGAGAAUCCCGUACGUGGUCGCUAGCUAUUGCCGUGUAAAGCCCCUUCGACGAGUCGAGUUGUUUGGGAAUGCAGCUCUAAAUGGGAGGUAAAUUUCUUCUAAAGCUAAAUAUUGGCCAGAGACCGAUAGCGCACAAGUAGAGUGAUCGAAAGAUGAAAAGCACUUUGGAAAGAGAGUCAAACAGCACGUGAAAUUGUUGAAAGGGAAGCGCUUGCAGCCAGACUUGCUUGCAGUUGCUCAUCCGGGCUUUUGCCCGGUGCACUCUUCUGUAGGCAGGCCAGCAUCAGUUUGGGCGGUGGGAUAAAGGUCUCUGUCACGUACCUCCUUUCGGGGAGGCCUUAUAGGGGAGACGACAUACCACCAGCCUGGACUGAGGUCCGCGCAUCUGCUAGGAUGCUGGCGUAAUGGCUGUAAGCGGCCCGUCUUGAAACACGGACCAAGGAGUCUAACAUCUAUGCGAGUGUUUGGGUGUCAAGCCCGAGCGCGUAAUGAAAGUGAACGGAGGUGGGAACCCGCAAGGGCGCACCAUCGACCGAUCCUGAAGUUUACGGAAGGAUUUGAGUAAGAGCAUGGCUGUUGGGACCCGAAAGAUGGUGAACUAUGCUUGAAUAGGGUGAAGCCAGAGGAAACUCUGGUGGAGGCUCGCAGCGGUUCUGACGUGCAAAUCGAUCGUCAAAUUUGGGCAUAGGGGCGAAAGACUAAUC
rnacentral:rRNA from 1 species